UAGAACACUAUGAAAUUCACAAAGCGUUACAAGAUCCUAAUUUCAAAUUAAUAAAUGACAUAACUGAAUUCAAUGAUAAUCAUCUUUAUAAAUACGUUGCCCAUUCACAUAACACGCCACUGCCUCAUACAUAACCUCACAUACUGAUACACACACACACUACACUUAAAACAUCGCUCACCCAUACAUUCAAUUUUAUAUAAAAAUAUGGACAUUACAUCAUACAUUUCCAUCUUGUUAAAAAAUGUAAUUCAGUAGACGGUAAGAUAGAUUUUG